rnacentral:lncRNA from 1 species
AAGCUCCCUUGCUUCUGUAUUGAAAGACACAAUUUUUCAAUAUAACUGGAUUGUGAAGGCUUUUAAUUUUAGCUGAAUUCCACUUUUUCUUCAACUUGUGUCAUAGUGAUAUAGCUUCUAUGCAGUCCAAAGUCAUUAUCGGAUCCAAAUCAUCCAAUGAUUGCACAUUGGUGCUGCUAUUGAUAAGUCUCUUGCAUAAUUUCAUCACAGAAGUUAUUGGAUGUUACCUUCAAGUAAUUCUUUUCUUCCUAAAUCCCCCCUCCUACUGCUACUUUUUUUGGGAGGGGUUUGUUGGUUAAGAGAUUUGGUUAUCUUACUCUUGAGAAUGCACUCAUGAAAUGGCGUUAGGGUUUGUUGGUUAAGAUAUAUAGUUAUUCUUACUCUCCAGAAUGCACUCAUGAAAUGGUGGUAAUGCUUCAUUAUCAGAUUGGUCCAAAGCAGAUUGAGGCACUAUAUCAGUAUGCCAAAUUUCAGUUUGAAUGUGGAAACUACUCUGGUGCAGCUGACUACCUGUAUCAAUACAGGGCCUUGUGCACUAACAGUGAAAGGAGUCUGAGUGCACUGUGGGGGAAGUUGGCAGCUGAGAUAUUGAUGCAAAACUGGGAUAUUGCUCUUGAAGAACUUAAUAGGUUGAAAGAAAUAAUUGAUUCAAAGGUGGUUUUAUUGUAUCUACUUUUCCCCGUUUCAUGAUGUAAUAUUUUUGUUGUUUUAGAAUAGAUAUGCUUACUGGCUGUGAUUUUACGUUUCAGAGUUUCUCGUCACCAUUGAAUCAGAUGCAAAGUCGAAUAUGGUUGAUGCAUUGGAGUCUUUUCAUCUUUUUCAAUCAUGACAAUGGAAGAACACAGAUUAUUGAUUUGUUUAAUCUGGACAAGUAUGAGUUAUCCUUUUCUUUUCUCUGUGUUUUAGUAUGUGUUGAAUUUCUCUGACUUGAUUCAUCUCUUAAACCAUUUCUUGAGUGUCUUUUUGCUAGUGGGCAAUAGUCCAUUUCUUGAAUAUGAUCUGACUGGCACCACACAGUGUACUUAAUGGAUAUUCCCCUUAUAAGAGAGGAAAAAAUGCAAUUAUAAAUUCUGUGCAUGUCUAACUUUACUGCUCUGGUAUGUUGUAUGAUAAUUGAUAAAUUUUUCAAAUAUUUUUUGCUGGAUCUUAGCUGUUUUUUAUUUUUUUUGCCUUAUCUAUGGUGGAAGAGAUAUUAGUGGAGAUUAUUUAAGCUGUCCUAUGCUUCAAACCAUGCAGCAGUGUGAUGUUGAGCAAGACCACAUAAUAUUUAAUUUUAUGUAUCAUUUAAACCUUUUGCUGUUUAUUAUACUUAAUUUCUUAUAUUUUUUCUAUAAUCUUUUUCAGGUAUCUCAAUGCCAUUCAAACCAAUGCUCCCCAUCUUUUGAGGUACCUAUCAACUGCAUUUAUUGUCAACAAAAGGAGACGACCCCAAUUCAAAGACUUUAUAAAAGUGCUACAGCAAGAGCAGCAAUCAUAUAAAGAUCCCAUCACAGAGUUUUUAGCAUGUGUGUACGUUAAUUAUGAUUUUGAUGGGGCACAAAAGAAGAUGAGAGAGUGUGAAGAGGUAAGCUUUCUAUACCCUAAUGUGAUUGUUUGGCUAACAAAAACAUUUAAGUUAUUAUCCUCUCUGAAAGGCUGCAAAUUUUCCCAGAUGACCUUUACUCUCUCUCUCUCUCUCUCUCUCUCUCUCUCUCUCGUUUUCCUUUUUUUUUUUUCCUNNNNNNNNNNNNNNNNNNNNNNNNNNNNNNNNNNNNNNNNNNNNNNNNNNNNNNNNNNNNNNNNNNNNNNNUCUUAGCAAAGAGCUUUUUUUGUUUUUUUUUCCUGUUUGGUCUUCUUUUUUUCACUUCUCAUUUUUUUCCCAAAUUCUUUUAAUGUGGAUUGGGGGCAGGGCAGGGGGGGCUUUGAGGGUGAGGGUGUGUGCAAGGUUGUAGCUUGUGUUACUGGUAGAUGUAAUCGGUAGUUCUUCUGAGCUGAGUCAUUUUUGUAUGUUAUAUAUCUUGUUGCUACGUUAUAGGUGAUUUUAAAUGAUCCAUUCCUUGGAAAACGAGUUGAAGACAGCAACUUUUCUACUGUGCCUAUGAGAGAUGAGUUCCUUGAAAAUGCUCGCCUAUUUAUCUUUGAGACUUAUUGCCGUAUACAUCAACGUAUUAACAUGGGGUAAGUGCAUACUGGAUGCUUUUAGUGAAUUGUUGCUUCACAAAUGAAAACAUUUGACAAUUCUCCAUUUGGAAUGAAGAAUUUUAUUCAAUUUAAUUGAUUUUAAUUGUCUUGAUUGAAAAGAAAGAAAUUCAGUUCUUUUUAACUUGAAAAUUUUCAUUCAAAAGAAGUUGAAAUCAUGCAUGAUUUUGUAAAGAUUUAUUUGAAUUUUUUCUUGCAAAUCAUGCCAAACAAAGGGUUAGGGAAUUGGGACAAUUUUAUGGUUCCUUUCCUUUAUUUUGCUAAAUGAAUUAAUUAACUGUUCAUCGCAGAGUCCUUGCUGAGAAAUUGAACCUGAAUUAUGAGGAGGCUGAGAGAUGGAUUGUAAAUCUUAUUAGAAACUCAAAGCUUGACGCAAAGAUUGAUUCGCAAUCAGGAACUGUUAUCAUGGAGCCUAAUCAGCCCAAUGUGUAAGAUUACAGAUAGAUUUGUAAAUAAUAGCACUUGUUUUCUUCUAGUCUUUUUCAGUGCCUUCUAUCUUGCUCUUAUUUUCUCCUGUUAUAAUUCUUUUGUACUCUAUCUAUGUUUUGGAAAUUUCCCUCAAUUCAGGUAUGAACAGUUGAUAGAUCACACCAAGGCAAUAUCGGGGCGUACUUACAAGUUAGUCGGUCAACUUUUAGAACAUGCACAGGCACAAGCUGCACGAUGAAGUUAUUCCUGAAGUUCGCAGGAUUUAUUGUUGUCAUUUUUUGUUAUUUGGAAUCUGUUUGCUGCUGCAGAUAAUUGUAGUGAUAAUCCUUUUUUGGUGGGUUAAUCUAGUAGAACAGAGGUUGAGAAAUUAUUGAUUAUGAGAAACAUGGUUUAUUUUUAAAUUCCAAAGCAUCUUUUUUAGCAUAUGUGAAGGUUAAAGUUGAUUUUGCGUUGAGAGAGCUACUGCUUUGAGGGAAUUCAUUUUGUUAGUGUAAAUUAUUGGUUAGAUGUGUUUAAAACUGAAAGCAUUGUUACAACAUUGUUUUGUUUUGUUGUCUAGAUUAACGAAAAUACCACAAAUGCUUUGGACUGGUGUUUUAGUGCUAACAAGUUGUACUCUUUGUUUGGGCACUUAGAUAAUGCAAGGGAAAUAAAGAGAAAUUGUACAGGGGAAAUGAUGAGAAAGGAAAGAACAGGAAAUCUUUUGAAGAGAAAUAUAUUUCUUCAGAAAAAAAGGAAAUAUUGUUAUAUAUAUAUAUAUAUAUAUAUAUAUAUUUCUAAGGGCAUUUAAGUAAUUUAUCAUAAAAAUACAAAUAAAUUUUAAAUUUACCUCUAUUUUUUUUCAAAGUUUACCAAUUGAACCCAUAGCUUUUAGUAUUGUGAAAUUUUAUAUAUAACAUGUUAUAUUCUUAUACCAACUUCGGUUCUUACUGAGUUUACUAGUGCUAAUAAUAUUUAAUAUCAUGUGUCAGAUUAACUGAAUAUGUAUAUGUAUGAUUCUGUGUCAUUUCAUGUCAAUUAAGCAAACGUAUCAAAAUAUCUAUAUUAGAACCUUUGCAACUUCAUGUAUAAGGUAUUCUAUUAGUAACAUAAAAAUUUAAUACACCGUUCUAAUGCCUUGGCAUUUUCAAUGGUACAUCAAAUAAAUUCAGAAUAAAAAUUUUGAGUUCCAAGAAGACAUAUAAAGGUCAUUUAUAUUUACCUCCUAGUGUACAGAAAUUUGGAUUAAUAAGUCAGCACGGGUAUAAAGCUAGCAUGUGUGUAAUCUUUACCAAAAAAGCGAGCAUGUUAACUCUUUGCAAUUUGUUGUCAAUUAGGCUGCAUUCUGCUUGAUUUUGUCUUAAAUUUUCAAGUAUCUUAUAAAUAUAAGAAGACUUAUUUUUCCUUAUAAAAAUUUUAUAUUUUUAUCUUAAUUUUCCAACAAGACAUAGUAAACCUAAUUUUAAUCACUCUAGACUAAAAUAUGAAAUUUUCUUUACAAGCUACUCAAACAAGUACUUACUACUCCAAAUUUAAUGUUGGUAUUUAACUCGUUAAAAGAAUUUGAUUUUCAUAAAAACGCAUACAAGAAUUGGAUUUUUUUUUCUUCUACAAAAUGUUAUGUCAUUUUUUAGGGUUUAUUUGGCACUAAUUUGUUUAAUUUCAGUAAGUAAAACUUUAGUUAUAACACAAGUAAUACAGAUUGUUUCAGAUGUACUAAUCCUGCUAAACUUUAGGAUUUAUAUUUUUCAUUAUUUUAAAUCUAAAAUCAUAUAUCGAUUUCCUCAUCAAGGUUUUAUUCUUUUAUCGUAACUUUUUUUUGGUUCAUGUUGUACUUCAUUUGAACAAAUACAUAAUAAAUUACAACCUUCUAAAUAUAGAUUGUCAAAUUAGAGUUUCAAUUUACCUAAGUUUAAAUCAAAAUCUCUAUGCUUACCUAUUUUUUUUAAACCUUCCAUAAUUCAUUCCAUCAUUCAUUUAACUCAUUUAAACAUUCAGAAUAAUAUUUCCAGCCUCUAAAAUCAAACUCUAAAUAUAAUCAAAGAAAAAUCAAUGAAAAAUUGAAAACACCAUUAGACCAAAUCUUUUCAACAAAGUUAUUUAGUUCACCAUUUUUACUCGUUUGCCACUUCCUUUUCCUUUGAAGUUCUUUCAUCUAUGUUAAUUUCGAUUUUAGCAACCGAUUGAAGAACAUUAAAACUAGUCAAAUUAAUACAUGAAAAGAUGGAGUUUCCUAUAUAUACUUUUUUCAAUUUCCUUUGACUUCCAAAUUAAGACAACUUGGAAUCCUAACUUUUAGAACUUGAAAUCUUCCGAUGUAUGACUCUUCUUUAGUUGUUUGUCUUAGGAAAGGGGUGUUGAUAAGUUGUAAAACUCAAUUUUUUUUAUUUAAUUUCAUAUUUUUGCUAUAAUUUUAAUAUAAAUAUUUAAUUUUACUUAGAAUUUAAGUUGAGACAUAUUUUUGAGCAGAAAUUGAGAAAAUAAAUGAAAAAAGACUGAAUUAAAAUAUUUUUAUACCGGAACCUGUGGCCCAAGGCGGAAGUUUCAAAAAGCGCCACCUCAGCAAAUUUUGCCACCUAAACAAUGAUAACAUAAGUUUCAAAUUGGAUCAAAUAUAAUCAGAUUAGGACAGGGAUAAGAUAAAAAUAGUAGAAUUUAUUUUAAAUUUUUAAAUUUUAUCUUUUUGUACCUAUACAAGACUCCUAGAAUUAAAUGUAGGAUCAUAUUUUUUUUUCCCUUUCUCCCUCCUCUCCUCUCCUCUCCUCUCUUGUUGCCGCCCUCCAUCUUCUUCUUUUCUUUUUCUUUUUGUAAUUUUAUUAUGGCGAGGCUAAACAAUUAUUUUCAGUUGAAAUUUAAUUUGAAUUGAGGUUUUAUUCAAGUUGUGGGGUUAUGUGCUUCAAUUAUUUUCAUUUUAUUUCUGUUUUCUGUUAAUUUCUGAAUUCGAGAAACACCACCUCCAUUGUUGUUUUCUUGAGAAUUCAAGAGAUCCAUUGAAUUUCUUCGGAAAACUACAUAUUGCUAAUUAAUCUAAUUAAAUUUGUAAUUAUUUAAUUGGGUUAAUAACAAGUAGCAAUUAAUCUAUCAAAGAAUGAGUAGAUUUGAUUUAAAUAAAACUGUGUGUUUUUAUUAAUCAAGUUUAAAUUCUUCUCAUGCUGUUGACCAAUUAAAUUUACAUGCGUGUUGGGUUUAUUAGUUAAUUAAGAAUUAAUUUGCGAAUUCAUAAGAAAGAAUUGGUGGGAUUGGCGUGUUUUACUCCUAUAACCAAAUAAUAGAUAAUAACAUGGAUUUCUUUUAACUGUAAAAUACCGAUUACCUUCAGCUGAAAGUUUUAAUUAAUUAUUUGUUUAUCAAAUUUCGCAUUAUUUAUUAUUUUUCUUUUAAGUUACAAAACUACUUUUAUAAAAAAAAAAUUCUUCUUCUCAUUUUUUGUAUUAAACUACUCUUAUUUUUUAAAUUGGUCAUCUAAAUUAAAUAUGAUUAAGGUUUAUGCGAGAUUAAUACUCAUUUAUCCUAUCUACAAGUUCGGAAUUUUAAAUUAACGGAUUCGCCACUCAUCAAAUUUGAUGGAUAAAGUUUUGAAUUUCAUGAAGAAAUUGACAUAAAUUUGAUGAAUUCGACAUUCGUCAAAUUUGAUCGAAUAAAGUUUUAGAUUUCAUGGAGAAAUUGACAUAAAUUUGAUGGAAAAUGAAGAAAGCUCACAUCGUUUUUCUACGGAGGAACUUUGAAGACAACUUUUGUUUUUAGCUUAUUCAUAUUUUUAAGUGCAUUUGAAAGACAAAUGGUGGCUAGGAUAUAUUCUUACUUUAUUUUAAAUAUUAGGAUUUAAUUUAACUUAUUAACUUUCCAAAACUAUUAUUUAACCUGCUAAAGUCUUAACUAUAUUUCAAUUUAAUUUUAAGAGUUUAUCAUUUAGAUAAGCACGUCGAAUUUGGUAAGCAACUCAAGAUAGCACAUUGGGAAACCUCAAAAUACCUUCAUAACGUAACAUGCUCCAACUCACUCUCUAUUUCGAGUUUUUUUAUGGAUUGCUUAUUAAAAUUUGAAUUAUUAGAAUAUUAUUAUUUUAUUUUAUCUCGUUCUCAAUAUAUUUAACUUUAUAUACAAUAUAAAGUAAAACGUGUAAACAUAAUUUAAAAUGCUCUUCUACAAGUGGAUUUUAUAAAAUAUAGUUCGGAAUUAAAUUGACUCGUUGAAAUCAAUUUAACACCUCCCCUGAAACUACUUAUCCUAACUCUGAAAAAGACUAAUGGUGCCCCAUUCCUGAAAGGUGUCCAUUCCUAUCUCAGAGUUUUAGAAUGUGAUAUAAUUUAUGGUAAGGUAUAUAAUCCGACAAUAAUUUUAUUCAUAAAAUUACUAUCUAGUCCAUGUAGUAUAAAAAAAACUUAUUAGUUGAUUUCUCAAAUUCAAUUAAUUUUAAAUUUUAAAUUAAUGUAUUCCUUAAAUACCAAUUUAUAUCAAGAUAUUUAUAAUAAUUUUGUAUUAAAUAAUUUCUCUACUAUAUAAAUUUGGAAACUUUAAUUCCUAAAUUUCUUAAAAACUAAUUUAUAUCAAAAUAUUUUAUAAGUCUUAUAUUAAAUUUUUUUCUCAAUUAUACUAAAAUAAGUAAUUUUGAUACAAAUUAAUAAAUUAUCUUCCAAAAUUUUUAUAUAUUUUUAUUGAAUAUAUUACAAUUGGUUGGUGUAUGGAAAAAACACAAAUACUUAUACUAAUAUUAACAUAACAGAAAAAAUUAUAUAAUACAAUAUUGCUGUAAAAUGUGAAAUAAUUAUUAGCUCAUAAAAUUUUAUUUUGUUAAUAAAAUAAUUAUUCUAUUAAAAUUCACGGUGGAUUAUAAUAAUGCAGUUUCUCAAAUUUUAACUUUUAAUUCAAAAAAUUAUAUUAUUAUAAUCGAAUAAUAAAUUUUAACAGAAUAACUAUUUUAUUAACCGGAUAAUACUUUAAAAAUACAAUUAUUUCACAUUUUAUGGUAACAUCGUAUUAAAUAUUUUCUCUAUCAUUUAUUAAUUAUAAUAUAUUUUAAAAAAAUUAUAUAAAUUUUAAAAAAAUAAUUUGUUAAUUGUAUCAAAAUUUCUUAUUUUAAUAUAGUUAAAAAAAUAUUUAAUCUGAGACUAUUAUAAAAUAUAUAAUAUAAAUUCACGUUUAAGAAAUUUAGGAAUUAAGAUUUUAUAUAGUAAGAGAAAUUAUUUAAUAUAAAAUUAUUAUAAAAUUUUGAUAUAAAUUGAUGUUUGAAAAUUUUAGUUAUCAAGGAUUAAAAUUAAUUAAAAUUAAUGAGUUUUUUAGUGUAAAAAGUAAAUAAUAAUUUUCUUUGUAAAUUUAUAAUUUUCUCAAAUUAUAUCCCUAUCGCAUCUAAGGGUACAUAUAUUAAUAUAUUAUAUUAGGUAAAUUAUCAUGAAAUUUAAUUUAAUUAAUUAAAAUAUUACUGUAUUUUUAAAAUUAUAUUAAAAAAAUUCUUAUAAUUUAAUUCCAUUAAUUAGCAAGGAUGUCUUCUAUUUAGCCACUAUUCUUCCAUUAGUUAUUAUGAAAAAAAAAACUUAAUUACCCUCAUUUAAUUAGAAAAAAAUAAUAAUACAAAUAAAUCCCAAAACCUUAAAACUUAAAACAUAGAAAAAAUUUUCCUAAUGCUUUCAUAGUUGCCAUUUUUUUAAUUUUUUAAAAAAAUUUAACUACUUAAAAAGAUAUUUUUUUAUUAAAAAAAAUAAAAAUUUUAGUGGUUAAUUAAGAACUAUUUUAUUAAAAAAUUUAAUGAGUGACGUUAGUUUUGUAAUAUGUAAAUUCCCGUGUAAUUUAUCUAAAAUUUAGAAGGGAUGGCUUUUAUAUUGGCUCCAACGAACUCCAUGACUACCUAAAAAACCCUAAUUCUGUCUCUCUCCUUUCCGCACCUUCAAUACACAGGAAAUACGAACAUCAGCACCACCCCAGAGCAACAAUGGCUACUUACGAUCUAACUCCGAGAAUUGCACCGAAUCUGGACAGGCACCUGGUAUUCCCUCUCUUGGAGUUUCUCCAAGAACGACAGCUAUACCCAGAGGAUCAGAUCUUCAAGUCCAAAAUCGAGCUCUUGAGCAAAACUAACAUGGUCGAUUACGCCAUGGAUAUCCACAAGAGCCUCUACCACACUGAAGACGUCCCUCAAGGUAACUACAAAUUUCAUCUUUUCUGACCUUGGGCGCUCUAUAUAUGAUGCUUAUGUGAUGUGUCUGGGUGGGUUUUUGUUAGAUAUGAUUGAGAGGAGAGCGGAAGUGGUAGCGAGAUUGAAGGCCCUAGAGGAGGGGGCGGCCCCUCUUGUGGCGUUUUUGCAGAAUGCGAACGCUGUGCAGGAGUUGCGAGCGGACAAACAGUACAAUCUUCAGAUGCUUAAUGACCGCUUCCAGGUUUUCAAUUUCAAUUUAUGCUUUAGUAAUGGGUGAUUGUAAUGUAAUUUAGAAUUGGUAUGAGUGUUGUUUCUUGCUCCUAAACCUACUUUGGUUUAAUCUUGUUUGAGUUUUUGAAGUGUGUUAUGCAACUGGCAUUAUUGUAAUUGAAGUGUUAUGCUAAUUCAGGCGUCAUAUUUAUUGGGAUGAAAUGAUGUGGUGUUAUUGUUGAGUUCAAAAGAAAUUGCUGAAUCCAAAAGCUCCCUUGCGUCUGUAUUGAAAGACUCAAUUUUUCAAUACAAGUGGAUUGUGAAAGCUUUUAAUUUUACCUGAAUUCCACUUUUUCUUCAACUUGUGUCAUAGUGAUAUAGCUUCUAUGCAUUCCAAAGUCAUUAUUAGAUCCAAAUCAUCCAAUGAUUGCACAUUGGUGUUGCUAUUGAUAAGUCUCUUGCAUAAUUUCAUCAUAGAAGUUCUUGGACGUUACCUUCAAGUAAUUCUUUUCUUCCUAACCCCCUCCUACUGCUACUUUUUUUGGGAGGGUUUUGUUGGUUAAGAGAUUUAGUUAUCUUACUCUUGAGAAUGCACUCAUGAAAUGGCAUAAGGGUUUGUUGGUUAAGAGAUAUAGUUAUUCAUACUCUCCAAUGCACUCAUGAAAUGGUGGUAAUGCUUCAUUAUCAGAUUG